rnacentral:sRNA from 1 species
UCCGCAGGGAUGCUGUGAAUAAGAUUAAAUCGUUACCCAUUGCUACGAAAGAGCAGCUUGAGAAACACAAUGAUAUUUGUGCCAUCUGUUAUCAGGACAUGAAAUCUGCUGUGAUCACGCCUUGCAGUCAUUUUUUCCAUGCAGGCUGUCUUAAGAAAUGGCUGUAUGUCCAGGAGACCUGCCCUCUGUGCCACUGCCAUCUGAAAAACUCCUCCCAGCUUCCAGGAUUAGGAACUGAGCCAGUUCUACAGCCUCAUGCUGGCGCUGAGCAAAACGUCAUGUUUCAGGAAGAGGUUUGUGAAGAAAAUUCAACCUCAGCAACUUCAGAAACUGCCCCUGAUAUGUGUGAGAGAGAAAUAAAAUCAGAUUUUGAGUGUUGAAGGGACUGAGGAGGUGAGGAUAAAGAGCAUGAGAACAGCAUGGAAAGAAGGAGGCAGAAGUGGCACUGAACUUUCACUCUCCGUGGGACAGAUCAAUCUCAUUAUCAAGUCUGAACAGCAACCAGCCCUCUCCUCCACCCCGUUUCUCCUCAGUUAAUUGGAGCUCAGUCAGGUGAUUAUUGAGUCUUGUACAGCACUGAAAUGAAAUCAAAGAUGAAGAAGCAUUGAUUGUAUUCAAAGAUUGAAGCACGCUCAUACUUUAUAUGUGCUUUAGGGAAGGGGUGGGUGGGCACUUGGGCCUUGCGGGUGCAUUCAUGUAAUCUGAGACUCUUGAACUUUAUGACGGAGUCUUCAAUAUUUUGAUGUAUAUGAAACUUUUGUUAAAUAUGUUGUAUACUUCGCUGGCUGUGUGAAGUAAACUAAAACUCUGAUGAACACUUUGGAGUCUGCUUUAGUGAAGGAGACCAAAGUGGGAAGGGCUUUAGGGCACUGAUAGAGGCCCUGGGUGUACUUU